UAUCAAAACUCCUCAUCCAUCAGUUAUGUUAUAUGUUUGCAUGAAUUGAUUUUAAACUUAUAGAGCUGGGACCUUAGACAUCAAUUAUUCCAGUGUAAUUCCUCCACUUUCCAGUUUAAAGAGGCAUAGAUGUCAGCCACAGAGCCACAACUGGAAUCUAGAUUUAUCUACCUAUCAGUGUGGUGUUUUUUCCUUUAGACACUGCCUUUUGUACUUGAUUGCUUUCCUUUUAUUCUUGGGUAGAAAAUAUGGAUUAUCUGAACUUCCAGUACCAAUUUGGAGUGUGAGAGUGGUGAGAACAGACCUGACCAGGAGAGCAGCAUAAGGCUUAGAGCUGCCUAGGUACACUAGUGCCAGAGACAAGCACUCUAGAAAACAGGAGGAAGAGUCAGAAGGGAAGGGUAAAUCCCUAGGAAUGAGAUGACUGGGUCACAUGAUGUUGCUUUACUCUGUCACCCAGGCUGGAGUGCAG